rnacentral:tRNA from 1 species
GCGCCUGUAGCUCAGAGGAUAGAGUAUCCGGCUACGAACCGGCAGGUCAUAGGUUCGAAUCCUAUCAGGCGCGCCA